rnacentral:piRNA from 1 species
UGCUUUCAUGAUUAUCUGACUCAUAGGCUUU